GUGCUUGCUUUAGCAGCACGUAUACUAAAACUGGAACAUAACAGAGAAGAUUAGCAUUGCCCUGCACAAAGAUGACAUGCAAAUUUGCAAAGUGUUCCAUGUUUUU
ensembl:snRNA U6 U6 spliceosomal RNA